AUCUUUCUAGUACUAAAGAUAGUAUAAGUGACUUCCAAUCACCCGGUCUUGGUUUAAAUCCAAGGAAAGAUA
rnacentral:tRNA from 1 species